rnacentral:rRNA from 1 species
GAACCUACGGGGGGCAGCAGUGGGGAAUAUUGCACAAUGGGGGAAACCCUGAUGCAGCGAUGCCGCGUGGAGGAAGAAGGUUUUCGGAUUGUAAACUCCUUUUAUCAGGGACGAUAAUGACGGUACCUGAAGAAAAAGCUCCGGCUAACUACGUGCCAGCAGCCGCGGUAAUACGUAGGGAGCGAGCGUUGUCCGGAAUUACUGGGUGUAAAGGGAGCGUAGGCGGGACGGCACGUCAGCUGUGAAAACUGAGGGCUCAACCUUCAGCCUGCCUUUGAACCUGCUGUUCUUGAGUGGAGCAGAGG